rnacentral:rRNA from 1 species
UCCGGCCGCCUGGCCGCGGGAUUCCCAUACAAUCUUGCUAGCGCAUGCUAAAAAGAUAAAAGCUCCGGCGGUGUAAAAUGAGCGUGCGUCCUAUUAGCUAGUUGGAGAGGUAAUGGCUCACCAAGGCUACGAUGGGUAGGGGUUCUUAGUGGAAGGUCCCCCACACUGGCACUGAGAUACGGGCCAGACUCCUACGGGAGGCAGCAGUAGGGAAUAUUGGUCAAUGGGCGCAAGCCUGAACCAGCCAUGCCGCGUGCAGGAUGAAGGCUCUCUGAGUUGUAAACUGCUUUUGUACAGGAGCAAAAAAGCCCCUGCGGGGGCUCUUGAGAGUACUGUAAGAAUAAGCACCGGCUAAUUCCGUGCCAGCAGCCGCGGUAAUACGGAAGGUGCAAGCGUUAUCCGGUUUUAUUGGGUUUAAAGGGUGCGUAGGCGGCUUAUUAAGUCAGUUGUGAAAUCCUAGUGCUUAACGCUAGAACUGCGAUUGAUACUAUUAGGCUUGAGUUAAGAAGAGGUAGGCAGAAUUUAUGGGUGUAGUAGUGAAAUGCUUAGAUAUCAUAAGGAAUACCAAUAGCGUAAGCAGCUUACUGGUCUUUAACUGAACGCUGAGGCACGAAAAGCGUGGGGAACCAAACAGGA